rnacentral:rRNA from 1 species
GGGUUAGUCGGGUCCUAAGCUGAGGCCGACAGGCGUAGGCGAUGGAUAACAGGUUGAUAUUCCUGUACCACCUAUAAUCGUUUUAAUCGAUGGGGGGACGCAGUAGGAUAGGCGAAGCGUGCGAUUGGAUUGCACGUCUAAGCAGUAAGGCUGAGUAUUAGGCAAAUCCGGUACUCGUUAAGGCUGAGCUGUGAUGGGGAGAAGACAUUGUGUCUUCGAGUCGUUGAUUUCACACUGCCGAGAAAAGCCUCUAGAUAGAAAAUAGGUGCCCGUACCGCAAACCGACACAGGUAGUCAAGAUGAGAAUUCUAAGGUGAGCGAGCGAACUCUCGUUAAGGAACUCGGCAAAAUGACCCCGUAACUUCGGGAGAAGGGGUGCUCUUUAGGGUUAACGCCCAGAAGAGCCGCAGUGAAUAGGCCCAAGCGACUGUUUAUCAAAAACACAGGUCUCUGCUAAACCGUAAGGUGAUGUAUAGGGGCUGACGCCUGCCCGGUGCUGGAAGGUUAAGAGGAGUGGUUAGCUUCUGCGAAGCUACGAAUCGAAGCCCCAGUAAACGGCGGCCGUAACUAUAACGGUCCUAAGGUAGCGAAAUUCCUUGUCGGGUAAGUUCCGACCCGCACGAAAGGCGUAACGAUUUGGGCACUGUCUCAACGAGAGACUCGGUGAAAUCAUAGUACCUGUGAAGAUGCAGGUUACCCGCGACAGGACGGAAAGACCCCGUGGAGCUUUACUGUAGCCUGAUAUUGAAAUUCGGCACAGCUUGUACAGGAUAGGUAGGAGCCUUUGAAACGUGAGCGCUAGCUUACGUGGAGGCGCUGGUGGGAUACUACCCUAGCUGUGUUGGCUUUCUAACCCGCACCACUUAUCGUGGUGGGAGACAGUGUCAGGCGGGCAGUUUGACUGGGGCGGUCGCCUCCUAAAAGGUAACGGAGGCGCUCAAAGGUUCCCUCAGAAUGGUUGGAAAUCAUUCAUAGAGUGUAAAGGCAUAAGGGAGCUUGACUGCGAGACCUACAAGUCGAGCAGGGUCGAAAGACGGACUUAGUGAUCCGGUGGUUCCGCAUGGAAGGGCCAUCGCUCAACGGAUAAAAGCUACCCCGGGGAUAACAGGCUUAUCUCCCCCAAGAGUUCACAUCGACGGGGAGGUUUGGCACCUCGAUGUCGGCUCAUCGCAUCCUGGGGCUGUAGUCGGUCCCAAGGGUUGGGCUGUUCGCCCAUUAAAGCGGUACGCGAGCUGGGUUCAGAACGUCGUGAGACAGUUCGGUCCCUAUCCGUCGUGGGCGUAGGAAAUUUGAGAGGAGCUGUCCUUAGUACGAGAGGACCGGGAUGGACAUACCUCUGGUGUACCAGUUGUCGUGCCAACGGCAUAGCUGGGUAGCUAUGUGUGGACGGGAUAAGUGCUGAAAGCAUCUAAGCAUGAAGCCCCCCUCAAGAUGAGAUUUCCCAACUUCGGUUAUAAGAUCCCUCAAAGAUGAUGAGGUUAAUAGGUUCGAGGUGGAAGCAUGGUGACAUGUGGAGCUGACGAAUACUAAUCGAUCGAAGACUUAAUCAA